UAAUACGAAGGGGGCUAGCGUUGCUCGGAAUGACUGGGCGUAAAGGGCGCGUAGGCGGUUUGGACAGUUGGGUGUGAAAUUCCCGGGCUUAACCCGGGGACUGCGCUCGAUACAUCCAGGCUUGAGUGAGGAAGAGGGUCGUGGAAUUCCCAGUGUAGAGGUGAAAUUCGUAGAUAUUGGGAAGAACACCGGUGGCGAAGGCGGCGACCUGGUCCUUUACUGACGCUGAGGCGCGAAAGCGUGGGGAGCAAACAGGAUUAGAUACCCUGGUAGUCCACGCCGUAAACGAUGUGUGCUGGAUGUUGGGCGACCUAGUCGCUCAGUGUCGUAGCUAACGCGGUAAGCACACCGCCUGGGGAGUACGGCCGCAAGGUUG
rnacentral:rRNA from 1 species